rnacentral:rRNA from 1 species
UACGUAGGGGGCAAGCGUUAUCCGGAUUUACUGGGUGUAAAGGGAGCGUAGACGGCAGUGCAAGUCUGGAGUGAAAGGCGGGGGCUCAACCCCCGGACUGCUCUGGAAACUGUACAGCUGGAGUGCAGGAGAGGUAAGUGGAAUUCCUAGUGUAGCGGUGAAAUGCGUAGAUAUUAGGAGGAACACCAGUGGCGAAGGCGGCUUACUGGACUGUAACUGACGUUGAGGCUCGAAAGCGUG